AGUGAGUCAUUCAAACAAAUAACCUAAUACCAUAGAAAAAUCUUAUUCGUAGUUCAGUUUUAAAAUAUUGAUUAUUGUUUCAAUUAUUUCCAAAAAUUUCGUCCAAAAAGUUGUAUCAGGUUGAAAAUUAGUUGUUUCAUCUGUUCUACAUACAAAAAUAUUUGAUAAUGUAGAACGUUUAGGUAUGGGAACAUGGUAUUACAGUAUAGUUGCAGAGGGGGAUCUUGACUUUGGUGAAGGGGACCAGCAGUCGCGCCUGAGUAAGCAUGAAAAGAGGGGUCAGUACAAGGUACCGCUCAUUUUUAUGGGAUUAAUUUAAGACCAAAACAAUUGUGCCGAGGAAUGAAUGGUACCUGAAACCUAUUCAGGUGUCAGAAACAAUAUCUGUGGGAAACUUGACGAAAGAAAAAAAGGAGAAGGAAGGCUAUAAGGUCCCGGAUCCUACGAUUACCUCGACCUCCAACCCUCUUCUAUCCAGGAUUUCCAAACCCAAAGCCUUUAUGAGGCCAAAAACUCCUGGUUCUACCUCCAUAGAACAAGUUGGCUCCAAAAGUCAUAAAACUGCACUUGCAGUAGAGUUCUGAAUCGGAGGAAGAAUUGAAUAUGCAGCUGGUCUUGAUUCAAGCGGGACAAUUUGAUACCAGCUUUAUGCAAGAACAGCUGCAGGAUUUCAUUGACGCGGUGACUAGGGCUAUCUGACAAAGGAAAAAUACACCGUAGUUUUUUUGUCUGCUGGUUAGGAAUCAUAUCCUAAUUCAUCAAAAAGUUCAAGCCAAAUCGUACGAUCGGCCUUUGGUGAUUUCAAGUGGAUGUGAUGGUGUGCAAUAGAUUUUUGGAACUUUGAAAUAAUACGUAAAAAUACUGUUAUAAUAAAUAAAUAGGAGUAAAAGUUUAGAUUUGAA